ACGCUCGCCCUGUGCGAUUGGCUGACAAUCUGACGCGAUGGGCGUCAGAUAGGAUUUGCGCCCCUGUGUGUUCUUCAGCUCCGCUUCUCUGUUUCUCUCGGAAAAGAUUUGCCGCAGGGCGAAUGCAGGAAGCGGAUGGCCGCCGCUGCGAUGCUCUUCGCGUUUCUCCAACCCCAGAAUUUCGCGCGGGUUUGAAGUUGGCAGGAUUACUGCUCCUUUUUCACGUUUUAGGCGCCGUUGGUAAUCCGCUGGAUGUUGCAGUGGUCAUCGGAAUGAGUAGCUGCAUUAUUAGUGGAAUGACGCCCGGAUUGUGCCGGACUGUGUAAGGAAUCUUUUUUUUUGAAUUGUAAGGAAUCUGUUGACUGGUUGUUGACAGAGAAUUAGGGUUGGAGCACCUAGACUGUUUGCUCGUUUACUGUAAAGUCCGUCUCAUUGCUUAGUUGAUGGCUUGAUGCAAUACUUCUCCCCUUUCGAGAAAUGCGUAUUUUUUGGUUAAGAGAAGGCUUUGCUCAACAAUUACUCCAUUAGUCUUGGUUUACUUGAUAUAAAUUCACCUUCACAAGUACUCCGUACUACCUCAGUACCAAAAUAUAAGAUGUUUUUGUAAGCUAAAAUAGCCUACCAAAACGUCUUAUAUUUUAAUACAGAGGUAAUAACUAGUACUUUCGAAAUACAAAUCUAUGGACAUUUAUCUUAUGCCCUGUAUAUUAUAGAGUAAUUGUUGGUCAAAGCCUCGUCUUGGCCAAACAAAAUACACCUUAUAUUCCUGGACCGAUGUACUCUAAAUGCAUCAGUUGCACUAUCAAGUGUAGUCUGGAGUUUGGACUCUGUAGCCUUGACAAUACGUGGACGAAUAAUUUAGAUCUGGGGGUGAAUUAUUUUCCUUAUUUUUUAUCAUCCCCUAUAGUUUGACUAUUGGCUCGAUCUCCCCCCUACUUUUUCCAAAGGAAAACUCAUUUGCUGGAGAAAGAUAUAUACAAGUACUCUGAAGUUGGCAAGGAGGAAGAUACAGCAGUAGCUAAACUAGUGUUGAUGAUGGUUAUAAGCAGAGAGCUGCAUUGCUGGUUCGAGUGUUAGUUACUCACAACAAUGCCAAACAAUGGAGCCUAAUCACCUGAUAAUUAUCAGUUUCUUGUUUAUUUGCUGUCCAGGGUAGACUUAUAAUCCUCCACAUAAUUAAGAAAUGUCUAUAUACCGCCUUGUCAAGAAAUCAGAAAGAGGAAGGCACUUGUUCCCAAUAUCCUGUUAAAGUUCUGAUAGUUCAAUGCUCCACACCCAAACGGAUCUAGCUUGUUGUUUCCUGACAUAAUUACUGUACUUCUGUCAGGACCAGUAUUGUAAUCUGCAGUUUCUUGUGUUCGUUGUCACUGAUUCUGCCUUAGCUUCACUGUAAUUCAUAUUCUCUUCUUCAUUACGAAUUAACUUGUUAAUGUCACUUCUGUCUUAAUUUUGUAGUUUUGAUAAAUCAGGGAAACAAUCUGACUACCUUUUGUUUAACAUAUUUCGGAUGCACGACUUCCCCUGCAUAAGAUACUGCUCCUUCUGGGGUUCUGCAAUUCCAAAUUUCAGAAAUUCGUUGUGUUGUGCAUUAUUCAAAGUGCUGAAGAAUUUGAAACGUGAAGAUGAUGCACUUUACUAUUUGUCACUUGUUCAUGUUCAGCAUUUCUGUUGUUAGGUGCCCAAACCACUAAGACUAAUUGGAGAAAUCUGUAACUAUGCCCGUAAUAAACUGGUUUGGUGGCUUGGUAUUUUAAUCUGGGCACAUGUUGCUAUGCUCUAAGGCACUGAAAAGGGAUUUUAAGAAAAAACACUGCACAAACUCGCAAUCAUUUGAGGUAUGGAAAGAUUAAUCAGUGCAGAGGCAGCCAUGGAUGAUAGUGAUUAUGUUUUGUGUGACCCAAUGAGAUCGGCCCACUGCGCAGUAUCAGCAGUAAUAGUUCUUGCUGUGGAGAACUAUUAGGAACAUAUGAAAAACUAUUAGGAACAUAUGGAUGAUAGUAAUGUUUUGUGUGACCCAGUGAUUCUCAAUAAUUUCGAAUUACUCAUAAAAUCCUAAAAGGUUCUUGGCACUAUCUUCAUUGUGGACAACAUGCACUUCCACGCGGUACAGCCAACCUUAUUUAGGACAAGGUACACAGUAAUAAUUUUUUGUCACAUGCCUUGGCCAAUCUACUGGCAUCUUGACACUUCCUUUUCUGCUUGUUAUUCAACAGUAGAACUCACAUAUGAGGUGUACCAUAUAUCACACUAAAGGUGGAUCCUUUAUUCCCUUACGCAAUGAAUCUCAAUAUCCUUGUUGACAUGCUAGUCUUGGAGGACUCGAGUCUAUGCAUCUUGAGCUCGUUCUCUCCAUCAACCUUGCAUUGUUGUUGAUGCCUUCU